ACCGGCGCACGGGUGCGUAACGCGUAUACAAUCUACCUUUUGCUACGGGAUAGCCCAGAGAAAUUUGGAUUAAUACCGCAUAGUAUAUUGAGAUCGCAUGGUUUUAAUAUUAAAGGUUACGGCAGAAGAUGAGUAUGCGUUCUAUUAGCUAGAUGGUGUGGUAACGGCAUACCAUGGCAACGAUAGAUAGGGGCCCUGAGAGGGGGAUCCCCCACACUGGUACUGAGACACGGACCAGACUCCUACGGGAGGCAGCAGUGAGGAAUAUUGGACAAUGGGCGAGAGCCUGAUCCAGCCAUGCCGCGUGCAGGAAGACGGCCCUAUGGGUUGUAAACUGCUUUUAUACAGGAAGAAACACCUCUACGAGUAGAGGCUUGACGGUACUGUAAGAAUAAGGAUCGGCUAACUCCGCGCCAGCAGCCGCGGUAAUACGGAGGAUCCAAGCGUUAUCCGGAAUCAUUGGGUUU
rnacentral:rRNA from 1 species